rnacentral:rRNA from 1 species
GACGAACUGUGCAAACGUUAUUCGGAAUCACUGGGCUUGAAGAGUGCGUAGGCGGUUUCGUAAGUAGGGUGUGAAAGCCCCCAGCUCAACUGGGGAACUGCGUCCUAAACUGCGAGGCUGGAGUGAGGUAGGGGUGUGUGGAACUUCCGGUGGAGCGGUGAAAUGUGUUGAUAGCGGAAGGAACGCCGGUGGCGAAAGCGACUUACUGGACACAUAUUGACGCUGAGGUGCGGAAGCGUGGGGAGCAAACAGG